AGUGAACGCUGGCGGUAGGCCUAACACAUGCAAGUCGAACGGCAGCACAGAGGAGCUUGCUCCUUGGGUGGCGAGUGGCGGACGGGUGAGGAAUACAUCGGAAUCUACUCUGUCGUGGGGGAUAACGUAGGGAAACUUACGCUAAUACCGCAUACGACCUACGGGUGAAAGCAGGGGAUCUUCGGACCUUGCGCGAUUGAAUGAGCCGAUGUCGGAUUAGCUAGUUGGCGGGGUAAAGGCCCACCAAGGCGACGAUCCGUAGCUGGUCUCAGAGUAUGAUCAGCCACACUGGAACUAAGACACGGUCCAGACUCCUACGGGAGGCAACAGUGGGGAAUAUUGGACAAGGGGGGCAAGCCUGAUCCAGCCAUACCGCGUGGGUGAAGAAGGCCUUCGGGUUGUAAAGCCCUUUUGUUGGGAAAGAAAUCCAUCUGGUUAUACCCGGGUGGGAUGACGGUACCCAAAGAAUAAGCACCGGCUAACUUCGUGCCAGCAGCCGCCGUAA
rnacentral:rRNA from 1 species